AUGAAUCAUCUGCUGACGUUAAGCAUACAGAAGCUGAUAAAAGUUCUGGUAGGCCUAGAAGCAUUGCUAAUGCAACACUUGGACUUGAUCCACUGCAACCUUUGCAAGUUGCCAUUGCCUCCAAAAUUUCAAAUUUGGCUACAAAGAUGAGCAACAAGGUUAAGUCAAAAAUGAAAACUGGAGAGGGAAGCAUCCUUCGGGAAG
rnacentral:misc_RNA from 1 species